AAUGGAGGAGCGCUCUGAAAGAUUUUGUGGAGAUUAAUGGGGGGAAUGAAUGCGUGUGCGGAUACAUGGAUGUGAACUGAGAUGGCUGCGUCACAUUCAAUCCGUCAUCAGGUGAUGCUCUCCCAAGCAAAGGUUCCGUGGUCUAGACCUCUAAGUUAAGCUCCUGGGAAUAGUUGAGAAUAAAGCACCCGGCGCUUCGAGUUACACCGGAAGCCGGUAGACGCAUGACGUUUUUUCGAUGCGUGGCCGGAAAGAUGGUAGGGAGGAUUAUCUCUAUUAGGGAGUUCGAACACUACGAUGCCAUAGCACUCUAGAACGAUACACGAAGUGUUCAAUUCGGCUUACAACCUACGAAAUUGUGUCUACUGUCUGCGAUCUCGUGGUUUGAAGAAUUAGCUUCGUGUUGCGCGCCUAUGUCGGCGUUAACUGGGUUGUGGUAUCCUGUUCACCGGGAGGUCAGGAUAGUAUGGAGAGUCUCCGAUCUGUGCAGCUCAGCGGAUGGAGCUUGAAUCUCUGAAUAACUCCGUGUCGUAUCGAACUCCUCUCGAAGGGUUGGAGAACUCGUGGUUGGUUGCAGUCAAGUGAAGCGUAUCGACCGACCUUGGGAAUGUUGGUAAAGCGACUUUUUUUUACUGGACAUCACUGGUUUCUCUCAAGUUGGAUGUGCGAGCUCGUCUACUUGUAAGUGGAUUUGCGCCGGGUCCGACCACAAGGACGCAGCAGUGCAGGUGCUUCGACGGAGUCCAAGCUUUGGCCAGCGAGUGCUGAAAGUGUUAGGGGUUUCAUGUAGUAUUCGAUGCGCAGCAGCGGGGCAAGAUCGUAAGAGACGUUUCGGCAAGUAGCCCUAAUCAACAGCAGUCGUGGAGUAGUUCGUAGUUUUUGUAAAAAGACAAUCUCCGUAUGGAGCUGGAUUGGUAUUCGAAGAAACAUUUCACCUCAAAUUCAGCUAGAAGAGUUGCAAUACUGACCAGCUUCAUGGGCCAUGUUGGAUCAAGGCUAUUGCUGGUAAAGCCGUUGUACAAAAGGUUGUCAAGUUCAAUAUCAUCGAAAUCCCUACCAGCACCUACGGCAUCUAAGAAAUGGGACGACGAUGAAUAUCUCGACUUCCAACCAAAGUGCUUGUCGCUCGGAAGGUCGAGGAAAUGGGUGUUUUCAUCGUUCGAUGAAAGAGCGCGAAGAAAACAAUACAAUUGCUUUGCAUGUGUUCUGCACAUAUGAAAGCUGACCGCCUGCGAUUACAAUCAAGUAGUGCAAGCGACCACCUGCGACUACACGCUGGACUUUUUCUCGUAAAUUUUGUUAUUAUAUUCUAGAACCUUAUCAGAUUGUGUAGGUGUUUAGAAGUAGUCAUGAACCACUACCAGUGACCAUGCCUGUAACUAAUUCACAAGUGCAUGCUACAAUUCACUCGGGUAGACUGUCUGCUAAGCUUCUGCAAAUAUUCAUUCAAAGAGCGACGAUCUGGAUACAACUACUCCUGCUCUUCUUUCUUCUUUGUUAUUUAUUUUUAUUUAUAUUUUACUUCGAGUUAUACAAAUCUGAGUCUGUUUGAGAAGUUUUUAUUUUUUUAUUUAGUUCUUCAUAUUGGUGUAUCUCUUUUACCUGAUGUUGCAUCCUGGUGUUGCAGCAAAUAAUAAUAUUAUAACAUUUCCGUAUGUUUCCAGCCA